rnacentral:lncRNA from 1 species
CCGGGCCCGCGCCGCCGCCUCCGGGACGGACUCCGAGCACUUUACAUACAUGAGAGAAUUGGAAGCUAAAGCUACCAAAGAAGUCGAAAGAAAACUAAGCAGGGAUUUAGUGCAAGAAGAGGAAGAACAGUUGAUGGAAGAAAGGAAAAAGAGAAAAGAAGACAAGAAGAAGAAGGAAGCUGCUCAAAAAAAGGUAUGUGGAGCACUGAAAAAUAAAACCCUGUGCUCAGGGGUGACUUGUUUCACCCCACUAGUAAAAACUGAUUUAGCUGUUGUUACUCACAGGUGUUUUCUUGUUAAUGUAGUGUUUUAGAUUCAAAUGUGCUGUCAGUUAUAUAGUGGUAACUGUCAUACUGAACAAUGUAAUUGGCUCUGUGUAGUUUCUUACAAGACUAAAUUUUUCUUCUGAGAUGACCCUUGUUUUUAAUGAUUGUCACUAGAGGCGGUUUUAAGUUUGAAACCUCUCACUGUAAAUGCAUUUAUUAGUAGAAUAAAAGUACCAUUUGAAGGUAGUGGCUUUCA